rnacentral:rRNA from 1 species
GACGAACCGUGCGAACGUUGUUCGGAAUCACUGGGCUUAAAGGGCGCGUAGGCGGGUCGGCAAGUCCGGGGUGAAAGCCCCCAGCUCAACUGGGGAAGUGCCUUGGAAACUGCCGGUCUCGAGGGAGGUAGGGGCAUGUGGAACUUCGGGUGGAGCGGUGAAAUGCGUUGAUAUCCGAAGGAACGCCGGUGGCGAAAGCGACGUGCUGGAUCUCUUCUGACGCUGAGGCGCGAAAGCUAGGGGAGCAAACGGG